GUCAGUGUGGUACAGUGGUUUGAGCACUGGACUAUGAUUCUGGAGACCAGGAUUCAAACCCCCAUUCAGCCA